rnacentral:lncRNA from 1 species
CUGAGGCCAUUAAUUAAUUGGGCAUGAAUCAAUUUAAAAAAUAGCUAAGCCUCCAUUUGCACAAUUUUCAUUACUGUGGUGACAUUCUUUCCAAUUUAGAAUCCUAAUUGAGUUAAUAUCUUCCUUCAUUUUUUGCGCUAGGAUCAUUUAAUACCUUCUACCAAAUGCCACAACCCCUUCUAAUGCCUCCUCUAAUCGAAUGAAGAUAGGUUUGCCCAACAAGCGUGGUCUGAAGCAAUCUGCAAUUCGUAUAUCUUUUUACUGUAUGCAACUGUAUUCUUAGCCUAUCAUAAACUAUAGUGUAUCCCCCUUUUUUGGCUUCACUUUUGAGUCCGAGUCUUCUUCCACUACUCUUCAUCUCAAAC